UUUAGGUUUUAACAUCACUGCACCUAUUGGCUGACGGUAGUUACUAACGGGGAACUGGACAAGACCAUGGCUUGUCCAUUGCUCAGUCUACCGUCAGCCGGUACUUGGAUCAAUUUGUAAUUGUGGUGAAUAGAAGACUCAAGGACACUUGGAUAGUCUUCCCAGAAAAUGAGAGGUGUUCAGGAGGCAUAUGGGGUUGCUAACAUUUUAGGCACAGUAGACUGCACCCAAGUAAAAAUAUUUCCAUAACCUUUACCGCAUGGCGUACAGUUUCUAAACAGAAAAGGAAUUCAUUCGCUAAACGUUCAGUUGAAAUCUUCCAAUAAAAGGCGAACCUGAAGCGGAAAUGGAAGGGGGCGCUGCUCGAGGGAUGCAUUACAUGCAGAGAAGCGUGCCCUAUUAAUAAAUAAAUAUUUCGCCUAGUAUUAUUUUA